AGUGAACGCUGGCGGUAGGCCUAACACAUGCAAGUCGAACGGCAGCACAGUAAGAGCUUGCUCUUACGGGUGGCGAGUGGCGGACGGGUGAGGAAUACAUCGGAAUCUACUUUUUCGUGGGGGAUAACGUAGGGAAACUUACGCUAAUACCGCAUACGACCUACGGGUGAAAGCAGGGGAUCUUCGGACCUUGCGCGAUUGAAUGAGCCGAUGUCGGAUUAGCUAGUUGGCGGGGUAAAGGCCCACCAAGGCGACGAUCCGUAGCUGGUCUGAGAGGAUGAUCAGCCACACUGGAACUGAGACACGGUCCAGACUCCUACGGGAGGCAGCAGUGGGGAAUAUUGGACAAUGGGCGCAAGCCUGAUCCAGCCAUACCGCGUGGGCGAAGAAGGCCUUCGGGUUGUAAAGCCCUUUUGUUGGGAAAGAAAAGCAGCAGGUUAAUACCCCGCUAUUCUGACGGUACCCAAAGAAUAAGCACCGGCUAACUUCGUG
rnacentral:rRNA from 1 species